GCCCAACCGUAAACUUUUAAUUACAUCCGAACCGCCUGGGAACUACGAGCAAAGCUUAAAACCCAAAGGACUUGACGGUUCCCCACAUCCCCCUAGAGGAGCCUGUCCUUUAAUCGAUGAUCCCCGUUUAACCUCACCAUUUUUAGCCUCUCAGCCUGUAUACCUCCGUCGUCAGCCUACCGCGUGAGCGAACUAUCAGUAGGCCUAACGGCCUCACCCGCCAAUACGUCAGGUCAAGGUGCAGCAGAUAAAGUGGGAAGAGAUGGGCUACACUUUCUAAAAUAGAAGAUACGAAAGACUACGUAUGAAAUCUAGUCAGAAGGCGGAUUUAGUAGUAAGAGGGAGUUAGAGUGCCCCUCUUAACUUGGUACUGGGGCGCGUACACACCGCCCGUCACCCUCUUCAAAGCUUAACAACAGUCAUUAACUCGUGCCCGCGUCAAAGAAGAGGCAAGUCGUAACAUGGUAAGUGUACCGGAAGGUGUGCUUGGAAAA
rnacentral:rRNA from 1 species